GAUACAUUUUGGGCUGGUCCUUGGGAGCACGUGUCAGAAGCUGAUAGGGAAAUCGAAGGGGAAGACCUUUGGUCUUGAUUCAUUCUCUUCGGCUCCUUCUCUCUCUCUCUCGACAAAGCAAUUUCGUGAGGGAAGCAAGAUCGUCGCAAUCCACACCGAUUUCGCGUUUACUCGAAAGCCUGACCGCCGAAUCAAAUCUACACCAGUUCCUUCUCGAGCCUCGGCCUCGUUUCUCAUCAUCUCCGUUUUCUCCGUUGAAGUCACGGCGGUUCCCAUGAGGACUGAGAUCAGAUACAGUACCAGCUUCUGGAAUUUGUUGGUCGCCGUACUGUUCCACAAGUUUUUGUAAACGGCAAUCAUAUUGCAGGGAUGGGGAACUUCGGUUAUAGUUGGUGUUGCAGCAUCAGGACAAGAGGUAUCAACCCGACCGUUUCAACUCGUGACUGGCCAUGUAUGGAAAGGAACAGCUUUUGGUGGUUUCAAGAGUCGAACCCAAGUUCCUUGGCUUGUGGAGAAGUAUAUGAACAAGGAGAUAAAAGUGGAUGAGUACAUAACGCACAACAGGACCUUGGGAGAGAUCAACAAGGCUUUUGACCUGUUGCAUAAAGAGAUGUAUAACAACAUGGGACCUCAGCCUGGGAUGCCAAUGUUUAUAAUCCGAUCAUAGUUUAUAAUCUGUCCCUGUUUGGUCUUGGAUUGUAGAUCAUAGGAUCAUUGUAAUAAACAACUUGUUGGAUCUUGAACCAACUUGGUUCUUUUUACUUGUUUCCUGUUUGUAAAGAAUCAACUUGUUUGUUUUGUUUGAUUGGAACAUAUCACAAACUACUUUGAUCUGUUA